UACGAAGGGGGCUAGCGUUGUUCGGAUUUACUGGGCGUAAAGCGCACGUAGGCGGGUCGUUAAGUCAGGGGUGAAAUCCCGAGGCUCAACCUCGGAACUGCCUUUGAUACUGGGGAUAUCGAGUCCGGGAGAGGUGAGUGGAACUGCGAGUGUAGAGGUGAAAUUCGUAGAUAUUAGGAAGAACACCAGUGGCGAAGGCGGCUCACUGGUCCGGUACUGACGCUGAGGUGCGAAAGCGUGGGGAGCAAACAGG
rnacentral:rRNA from 1 species